rnacentral:rRNA from 1 species
CAGCAGCCACGGGAAUACGUAGGGUGCGAGCGUUAAUCGGAAUUACUGGGCGUAAAGCGGGCGCAGACGGUUACUUAAGCAGGAUGUGAUAUCCCCGGGCUCAACCUGGGAACUGCGUUCUGAACUGGGUGACUAGAGUGUGUCAGAGGGAGGUAGAAUACCACGUGUAGCAGUGAAAUGCGUAGAGAUGUGGAGGAAUACCGAUGGCGAAGGCAGCCUCCUGGGAUAACACUGACGUUCAUGCCCGAAAGCGUGGGUAGCAAACAGGAUUAGAUACCCCCGUAGUCCCUGUCUCUUAUAC